GAGAAGGGUGGGUUUGUGGAGAAAGGUCAGGAAAGGAGAGGGGGCGGGAAUGUGGGAACCGGGGGACAAGGGGAGAGCUGGGGGCCACAGUUUCCCCUUGCGGGGUAUUUGGCGUGCAACACGCCCCUCGUCAGGCCCAGUGCUUGUUUCCUUUGGAAGCCCUGGAUGCCCCGUAGGAUCACUUGGAGAGCCCCUCCUUCGUUUCCCGCAUUGUCUCCUGAGGUGAGGGGGCAUUGUCUCCUGAGGGAGGAAAGGCUGCGGCCCCCAUCUAGUGCUGGAUAGUCCAAGAAAUGAGAAAGCAGAGGACCCUUGGUCCCAACCCUGACUCUGCCACCAACAAACUGUGUUAUGACAACUCUGUGUGACCUUGGGCAAGUCACUACCUUUCUUUGGGCCUCAGAUUUCCCAUCGGUUUGAGGAAAAAAAAAAAAAAACAACCAAGGAAAAUGCAUGAGAAUGAUACCCCAGAUCUUUUCCAGCUUCAAAAUGGAGUGGUUCUUGAGGAAAGAGUUCAGGAGAAUGGAUUCUAGGAUGUGGGGAAGCUAGGGAAAACAGGCUGAAGAUGGAGGCGAGGCCUUUAGCUGGGGCUGCAGAAAAUCCCCAGGGAUGUGGGGGAUGGUAGGCACAAAGCCUGCAGGGCUGGAGCAGGCUAGCCAGCGCCUCUGGCAUCCUAUUGGAGGGAUGGAAGAACUCUGAAAGUGGCAGAGGAGAGAGACCUAACCCAAGAAAAUGAAGACCAGAAUGAGGUCUUCAUUCUGAGGAGAAGGCAGGACAGAGAGAAGCAAUGGAAGCUAUUUUCUAGUAGACAGCCAACAUCUGUGGGGAGAAGGAGGAAUAUACUAAGGCUGGUAUAGAGGAGUGGGGACUAGGAUGGUCUUGAACACGGAGGGGGCUGGCACUGUUUGGGGCAGCUGAAGCAGGGCAGCCGGUAAAGGUUGACUUCAGGGUAAUCGGCUGGUCUCUCGGCCUCUGUGGUAUUUUUCUUUUUGAUGAGAGGUACCCUUUCUGAGAGGUGUGCCUUCCAGCUUUCAUUUUCCAACACAAAUCCCUUUAGGGACUGAGUCAGACCAGACCGUCCUUGGGAUCACCUGGAGGAUUUCAGGAUUGUGUGUUGUGGGUUGGGGUGAAAAGAAAACAGGAGAAUCAGUUUGUAAGAGAUAGCUGUGGCACCAUCAUCCUUGCUGGGAGACAGCUUUGUGGAGUGGUUGAAAGCACAGGCUUUGGAGUCAGGCUGCAUGGAUUCCAAACCUGCCUCUGCUGUUUAAUCCUUUGGAACCUUGGUCAAGUUAUUUAAUCUCUCCGAACCUCAGUUUCUUUAUUUAUAAAAUGGGGACAAUAAUAACCUUUUAGGUUGCAAGGAUUAAAUGAUUGUUUGGCAUGAUAUCUGGCCCGUAAUAAGCACUCAAUAAAUAUUAGUUAUUAGCUAUUCCCUCUUUCCACACUCUUCCUUCCAUUUCUCCAUUCUUGUUUUUUUCCCCUUUUCUUUCUUCUGAAUCUUUAGUUCUGAGAUGCCGCUUAGAUGUGGAAGAAUUGAUUGCACCUUUGGGGGGAGUGGUCCUUCCAGUGGCCCAGGUGAACACAUGAUGAUCAGAUGAUCAGUUGUCUCUUCGUCUCUCUCCAGCUCAUAUAUGUGUUUUUGUUCCAGGAAAGACACAGGAUCUGCUCUUUCAGCCCCUUUCCUGUAUCCCUCUGUCACACAAGUUACUUCAGUCUUGCCCCAAGGUGUAAUGAGACCCACAGUUGUCCAGGCACUGCAGCAAGUGAGAUAGGGGCAGGGGUGUUUCAGGAAGAAAAGUAUACACAUUGCACGGGAAGCUCAGGGAAGGGAGGGCUGUGGAAGUUCCAUGGUAAUUUAUAUUCAUUCCGUCGCUCUGUCCUCUGCGGGAACUGUCCAAAACAGUCCAGCAUCUGGAUCCUGGCCAGGGGUCUCCGUUCCAAGUUAAAGACGGUCAUUGCUCGCUUCAGCGGCACAUAUGCCAAGUUAAAGAUGCUCAUAUACAUCGGUUCCCGAUUCUGGUCCCCGGCCCCCAGCAGCGCCUGCCCCCUUCCCACCGGGGCCCCCCAUGAUGCCACCACCCUUCAUGCCCCCUCCAGGAAUCCCCCCACCCUUUCCUCCGAUGGGACUACCCCCCAUGAGUCAGAGACCACCAGCCAUCCCCCCGAUGCCACCUGGCAUCAUGCCCCCAAUGCUUCCACCAAUGGGGGCACCACCACCACUCACGCAGAUACCAGGAAUGGUACCUCCCAUGAUGCCAGGAAUGCUGAUGCCAGCGGUGCCUGUCACCGCAGCGCUGCUGUGGCUGGGACAGGCCCUCCGAGGGCGCUGUGGAGUGAGCAUGUGGCCCCUGACGGACGCAUCUACUACUACAACGCUGACGACAAGCAGUCCGUGUGGGAGAAGCCCAGCGUGCUCAAGUCCAAGGCAGAGUUGCUGCUGUCCCAGUGUCCCUGGAAAGAGUACAAGUCAGACACAGGCAAACCUUACUACUAUAACAACCAGAGUAAGGAGUCUCGCUGGACCCGGCCCAAGGACCUGGAUGACCUGGAGGCUCUAGUCAAACAGGAGGCUGCAGGGAAACAGCAGCAGCCCCAGACACUGCAGCCUCAGCCGCCUCAGCCCCAGCCUGAGCCCCCGCCUGUGCCGCCUGGCCCCACCCCUCUGCCCCUGGGCCUUCUAGAGCCUGAGCCAGGUGGGAGUGAAGAUUGCGAUAUGUCAGAGGCUGCCCAGCCUGUGGAGCAGGGCUUUCUGCAGCAGCCGGAGGAGGGCCCCAGCAGUGCUACUGGACAGCAUCAGCCACCACAGCAGGAGGAAGAGGAAUCAAAGCCAGAACCAGAGAGGUCUGGCCUCAGUUGGAGCAACCGGGAGAAGGCAAAGCAGGCCUUCAAGGAGCUGCUGAGGGAUAAGGCUGUCCCCUCCAAUGCCUCGUGGGAACAGGCCAUGAAGAUGGUGGUCACCGACCCCCGUUACAGUGCCUUGCCCAAACUGAGUGAGAAAAAGCAGGCAUUCAAUGCCUACAAGGCGCAGCGGGAGAAGGAGGAGAAGGAAGAGGCCCGGCUAAGGGCUAAGGAGGCCAAGCAGACCUUGCAGCAUUUCCUGGAGCAGCACGAACGCAUGACCUCUACCACCCGCUACCGGCGGGCAGAACAGACCUUUGGGGAGCUGGAGGUGUGGGCUGUGGUCCCUGAGAGGGAUCGAAAAGAGGUUUAUGAUGAUGUCCUCUUCUUCCUGGCCAAGAAGGAGAAGGAACAGGCCAAGCAGCUCCGGCGCCGCAACAUCCAGGCCCUGAAGAGCAUCCUGGAUGGGAUGAGUAGUGUCAACUUCCAAACUACGUGGUCCCAGGCCCAGCAGUACCUCAUGGAUAACCCCAGCUUUGCUCAGGACCACCAGCUGCAGAACAUGGACAAGGAAGAUGCACUGAUCUGCUUCGAGGAGCACAUCCGAGCUUUGGAGAGGGAGGAGGAGGAGGAGCGGGAGCGGGCCCGCCUUCGGGAGCGGCGUCAGCAACGCAAGAACCGGGAGGCCUUCCAGACCUUCCUGGACGAGCUGCACGAGACAGGGCAGCUGCACUCUAUGUCCACCUGGAUGGAGCUGUAUCCAGCUGUCAGCACUGAUGUCCGCUUUGCCAACAUGCUGGGCCAGCCGGGCUCCACCCCUCUGGACUUGUUCAAGUUCUAUGUGGAGGAGUUGAAGGCACGAUUCCAUGAUGAGAAGAAGAUCAUUAAGGACAUCCUUAAGCGUGGCUCCGUUCAGCAGAGAUCUGCUGAGAUCCCUGACUGCGCACGGGGGACACGGAAAUAAGAAAGUUGCAGUUUCUGGCCGUAAGGAGCUCAUGGCCUAGGAGGAAGAUAAACGUGACACCUAUUACGGAGGGGGGCAAGUGCUAUUAGAGACGAGAAUCGCCAGAAUUGCUCUUUGCGCUGCACCUGUAAGAACAAGUAAGUGGAGGAGGCCGGUGUCCCAGGCACAGGGUAUUGCAGGAGCAGAGGCAAGGGGGUGGGAAGGGCACGGCAGGUUUGAGGAGCAAGGGGCACAGCUAAUCGUAAGCUGGUAGCGCACAGAGAUGUUCCUUCUGGCCUGUACAGCGUUUUAGAAAAAGUUCAACUUUGUUGCUAACAUUUUAAAAUUAGGAGAUUGUACAGAAAAAUCUGGGUCUUCAACUUCUCUUAAAAAUACGGAUGAUCUAGCAGCACUGGGCUGGUUUUGCAAGGCAUUCAGUGGCCUCAGGGGCAUGCCAUCCUUAACCUCACGUGCCUGCCACCACUCUGGCGUGGCAGCGAGUUUAGUGGCACCUUGCAGCCACCUUGCUUGUCUUACACUGGAGAGAGAGUUCUCAACGUCCGUGUCCACCAAAGAUGGAAGAGUGAUUGCUGCACUAAGAACCUCGUGUUUCAGAAGGAAAAAACAAAGAGAAAGCGUGUUUGUUGGUGGAAGCGAAGAACACGCAGGGGCGCUGGGGAGGCCGUACACGCAGCAGUUAGGAGCAGCGGUGUGGGGCAGACUGCCUGGGACACGAGUCCAGCUUAACCGCUUACUAAUUGUGUGACCUUCGGCAGACUGUUUAACUUUUCUGAGCCUCAGUUUCCUCCUCUGAAAAAUGGGGGAUUUUCCACCAACGCAUACCUGAUUACCAAGGGCAGUGACGUGGCACCUGGGGCGAGAAGGGUCUGAGAAUAGAGCUAGGAACGUGCCCCUGCACACACAGCAUUUCUCUGAAGGCCUGUGUUUUGCUUCCAGAUGCAGGUGUUGUAUCUUCAUACCGUAUUACUUCUCUGUUUAAUACAAACAUAACGUUUUAAAAGUCCUUACCAUUAGGUAACACAUGCCCUAUUGUCCUGUGGCUUCCUGUUUCGCUGGGACCCGACGGCCCAGUUUGGAAGGAGAGCCCUAGGUGUAAAAUACCUUGAAUGCUAACACAAGAAGUUUGCGUUUUUAUCUUGUAAGUAAUGGGCAGCCAGGGAACGGUAUGGUCGGAGGAUGUCUUGGAAGAGCCACGGGGGCCGAGUGUAGAGUAGCACCUCUCAGACUGAGUGCUUGCGUCCUUAGGGAUCGGUGGGGGAAAGACAGUAUUCGAAGCCUCGGGACACUGAAAAGUCACAGUGGCCAGUGAUUCGAACACAUUUGGAGCUUGAGCCGUCCUCUUCUGGCUCACCCCCAGGCUCUCUCCCCUGCUGUUCGGGCCCUUUGGUGGAAAAGUCGGAGCAGUACAGGACUGGAGCACGGUUAGCAGUGCGGGAGGUGGUCUGGGUGGUAAGUGAGCUCGGCAGAGGCAGCAGGGACAGCAGAUGAGGGGGAGCUGUAGUGCUCCAGCUGUGUUUUUCUGAGGACCCCCCUCCCCUCGGGUUUCCUCAGGGGUGCCUUGGGACAAGAAAGUGGGACAGUUUAUGCUCCUUCCUCUAUGUUUAAGUAUAGCAGUUUUUCUUUUAUAUGUUGAGGCUCUACAUAAGAUUUUUGUGAAAAAAAAUGUUUCUGCUGUUAAAAAAAGAAGUUUAAAAGCAGGAGGGUGGAGUCACUCAGAAGUCGAGGGGAUGGAUUUUUUGCGUGUGAAAUGGAGGGCACGGAAGGAGGAGGUUGAAGUGGGCGGAGGUGGGAUGAUGGUACCAUGAGUGAGGACUCAGCAGAACAGGGCUGGAGAAAAUAGGAAUUCCAUUUGGGGAAUUACUCUCGAAACUACCCUGGGGCGGGGAGGAAUAAAGCAAAGACCAUAUCUUAAAUAGGAUGAUCGUGUAAAGUAUAAAUAUCGAAUCCCAGGAGAGCUACAUUUUAUUGGAUGCUUACAUCUUAGCCACAGGGUGGCUGGUCCUGCUGACGGGCCCUGUAGGAGUCCCGUCCUUGCUGUGUCCUGUCUGUCCACCUCUCCUGAGAAAGAAGCUAAGAGUCCCCCUACCUCUUCCCCUUUUGGGGCUCCUGCGUACAGAAGGCUGAUGAGCCCAGGAGUCCCCGUGGCCAUCCACUAGCCAGACAGACUGUGAGGGCACCUCUCACACCAUGGGAUAAUGCAAAGAGCCUUGGAACAGCUGGAGGCCAGAAGAUCUGGGCCUGGGAGAUCCAUGGGAGUGGAGACGGAUGGCUCACAGGGAAUGAAUUCUCUUGGGGUCCACUGAAUUUGAAGUUUCUGUGAAACAUCCAGUCUGUUAUGGGUCUGAAAAUCAGGAGGGACGGAGGGGCCGGGGUUGCUAGGGACAGUCUAGAUUGUAAAGACCCAAGUACUGUUCUCAGGGGAAUAAGCACAGGCAAGAGAGGCAGUUAAAGAGGUCAGAGAGACCAGAGGGUAGUCGUUGAAGGGAGCAGCACACAUACAAGGAUCAGUCAAGUGAGGACCGAGAAGGGGCCCUUGGAAGUUGUCUCUGAGGACAUGAGCGUUUUUAGGAAAGUAGUGUCUGUAAAGAGGGUAGAGUGGGUGCAGCUCAGACCUUGGAGUCAGGUAACGCCUGGCGGUAUGUUAGUUGAGACCUCUGCAAGUCAUACAACGUCUGAGCCUCAGUUUCCUCAUCUGUAGAAUAGGGAUAAUUUACGUGCAUGGUUGUGGGCAGUGCUAAUAUUUGUAUAGUGCCUGGCUUAUAGUAGGUUCACGAAAUGUUGAUUUGUUUUCCUGUGUGCUGCAUUUAAAGAUUUUGAACCAAAGGGAAAGCAGCACAGGUUGUUAGCUUGAGGAAGGUGAGAGCAGGUGGACAGGAGUGAGGGGUAUGAGCUUGAUGGAAGCAGCCAGUGGAGAGGUGGGAUUGAAGCUUUCACUUCCCUGAGAGAGAGACUGGGAUGUUUGAGAGGGGCUGGAGCGUGGGUUGAGGAAACGCUCUCGAAACGGACAAGAGCACGCUCUGCUGCGGGCAGAAGGCCGCCACAAGUUAGUGCUGUGCGGAGGGCGGGGGAGGGGACUGGGCCUGGGCCUCCACUGACGCACACUCCAGCGGCUCCACUUUUCACCGGGUCAACUUGGGCCCAGUGAGGUAACUCUCCUAAGCCUCUGCUUUAUGGAGGUGUUGGGAGGCAGGGAUGAGAAGCUUGGAGUCUGGCCCAGGGAGCUUCGAGAAGGGGAGGUAUUUUUAAUAGUGUUCUGGAGUUGCACACCUGAUGGCCUGGAAUUCCCCUGAGGACUGAGUGAUCUGUGUGGGUUUAGUGCUGCAAACUGUGGGCUUUGGUGUUAGAAGGACCUGGGGUAGAGUUAGCUGUGAGACCGUGGGCAAGCGCUCUAGUUUCUCUAAACCUUGGUUUCUCCUUCCACAUAAACUCAGGCGGCCAGGACCUAUGGUUAAAUUUCGAUACUGAGGAUUAAAACAGAUAAGGUGUGUGAAGCACUCAGCACAGUACCUGGCAGCAUAGUAAGCACCCAAGAAAUAAGCCAAAGGAUGGGACCGACAGGUGUUGACAGAAUGCAAGGAAGUUACUGAGCAGCAGCAGGAGGGCCCAUCUGGGGCCGAGCCUUAAGCCGAAGGAACAAAGAAUGACUUGUGAGAAAGGCAGGCAUCAGUCAGCAGACAGGGUGCACGCGCACCGUGCUCCCCUCCCCAUGGGAUCCGGUGCCCCCCUCCGCUCCCUGCGACAUCCAGACCGAGGGCAGGCGUGGGAGGCUUAGUCAUCACACGGUGAGGACUUGGACAGCAGAAGUACGUCUGAGUCCCGUGGGUCUCUUCUGGGGGCUGGGGGACUUCUAGAGCACCCUGUAGUCUGACCCUCUGCCUGCGCCGGAGGCCGGCUUCGGGCUUCGGGCCCUUGGUGGCCUCUGCUUCAUGCGCCGCUGUGCCCACAGGACCGGGGCUUCUGCGUGGAGGUGAACACAGCCUUUGAGGACUUCGCCCACGUCAUAAGCUUUGACAAGAGGGCUGCUGCGCUGGACGCAGGCAACAUCAAGCUGACCUUCAAUAGUCUGCUGGAGAAAGCAGAGGCGCGGGAGAGAGA